AUUGAACGCUGGCGGCAUGCCUUACACAUGCAAGUCGAACGGUAACAGGUCUUCGGAUGCUGACGAGUGGCGAACGGGUGAGUAAUACAUCGGAACGUGCCUAGUAGUGGGGGAUAACUACUCGAAAGAGUGGCUAAUACCGCAUGAGAUCUACGGAUGAAAGCAGGGGAUCGCAAGACCUUGUGCUACUAGAGCGGCCGAUGGCAGAUUAGGUAGUUGGUGGGAUAAAAGCUUACCAAGCCGACGAUCUGUAGCUGGUCUGAGAGGACGAUCAGCCACACUGGGACUGCGACACGGCCCAGACUCCUACGGGAGGCAGCAGUGGGGAAUUUUGGACAAUGGCGCAAGCCUGAUCCAGCAAUGCCGCGUGCAGGAUGAAGGCCUUCGGGUUGUAAACUGCUUUUGUACGGAACGAAAAGCCCUGGGUUAAUACCCUGGGGUCAUGACGGUACCGUAAGAAUAAGCACCGGCUAACUACGUGCCAGCCGCCGCGGUAAGAC
rnacentral:rRNA from 1 species